UACGGAGGGUGCAAGCGUUAAUCGGAAUUACUGGGCGUAAAGCGCACGCAGGCGGUUUGUUAAGCUAGAUGUGAAAGCCCCGGGCUCAACCUGGGAAUAGCAUUUAGAACUGGCAGGCUAGAGUCUUGGAGAGGGGAGUGGAAUUCCAGGUGUAGCGGUGAAAUGCGUAGAUAUCUGGAGGAACAUCAGUGGCGAAGGCG
rnacentral:rRNA from 1 species